rnacentral:snoRNA from 1 species
AUCCAUCUGUGGAUCCUGAGUCUGAUGACUGGGUUGUCACAUUGCCAUGUGAGGUGUGCCUCCCACAGUCCUUGUUAGCACAUCAGUGCACUCCCCAUCUCACA